GGCCUGUGACGCAUGAAAAUUAUUUGCUACUCUUGAUGGUGAGAUCCCAUUUGAUGAUUUUUAUCCGCCAAGAUCUCUGAGGCC